rnacentral:pre_miRNA from 1 species
CAACUACUCCCUCUGUCCCAAAUUUCUUGUCUUAGAUUUGUCUAGAUACGGAUGUAUCUAAUACUAAAAUGUGACUUGAUACAUCCGUAUCUAGACAAAUCUAAGACAAGAAUUUUGGGACCGAGGGAGUACUUU